rnacentral:rRNA from 1 species
UACGAAGGGGGCUAGCGUUGCUCGGAAUCACUGGGCGUAAAGCGCACGUAGGCGGCUUUCUAAGUCAGGGGUGAAAUCCUGGAGCUCAACUCCAGAACUGCCUUUGAUACUGGAGAGCUUGAGUCCGGAAGAGGUGAGUGGAACUCCGAGUGUAGAGGUGAAAUUCGUAGAUAUCAGGAGGAACACCAGUGGCGAAGGCGGUGCUCUGGGCCGGAACUGACGCUGAGGAGCGAAAGCGUGGGGAGCAAACAGG